rnacentral:rRNA from 1 species
AUGAUUGGUGCUCGAGAUAAUGUUGUUGCUAAGAAUUUGAAGGUAAAGCUAAUUGUGCCUUGCAUACACUCAGUGAAUUGGUAUGUCUGCUCCACUGGGCAGCAGCUGCAACCUUUCAACUUUGGCUCUUGCACCAUUGUUUCAUAUGUAAGUAUACUUGUCUACGAUCGCGGCCGCCCACGCAUUCGAGCCACCAGGAUUGUUAAGGAGACCUUGCAAGGCAAUACUUGGGCGCUGGACUUGGGACCAGUCAUUGAUUUGCCAUGCCUGCAACAGUUUUGGAUGCUAUGGCCACGGAUUGCUGAUGUUCAGCUCAUGGGAGGAGCAGAGGCCCCCAUAAGAUGGGCGUGGAAGAGUAGUGGCAUGUUCUCCGUUCGCCCUGCAUAUGCCUCAAAAUUCGGAGGAAGCGAUGUGGUACCGUACGCGGACGUCACAUGGAACUCGAAGGCCGCCCUUCAAUGUCGGUUCUUUACUUGGUUAGCCAUGUGA